GAACUGCGAUAAGUAAUGUGAAUUGCAGAAUUCAGUGAAUCAUCGAGUCUUUGAACGCACAUUGCGCCCCCUGGCAUUCCGGGGGGCAUGCCUGUCCGAGCGUCAUUGCUGCCCUUCAAGCCCGGCUUGUGUGUUGGGUCGUCGUCCCCUCCGGGGGACGGGCCCGAAAGGCAGCGGCGGCACCGCGUCCGGUCCUCGAGCGUAUGGGGCUUUGUCACCCGCUCGAUAAGGACCGGCCGGGCGCCAGCCGGCGUCUCCAACCUUUUUUUCUCGGGUUGACCUCGGAUCAGGUAGGGAUACCCGCUGAACUUAAGC
rnacentral:misc_RNA from 1 species